UACGUAGGGUGCAAGCGUUUAAUCGGAAUUACUGGGCGUAAAGCGUGCGCAGGCGGUUAUGUAAGACAGUUGUGAAAUCCCCGGGCUCAAGCCUGGGAACUGCAUCUGUGACUGCAUAGCUAGAGUACGGUAGAGGGGGAUGGAAUUCCGCGUGUAGCAGUGAAAUGCGUAGAUAUGCGGAGGAACACCGAUGGCGAAGGCAAUCCCCUGGACCUGUACUGACGCUCAUGCACGAAACGCGUGGGGAGCAAACAGG
rnacentral:rRNA from 1 species